rnacentral:rRNA from 3 species
GGUUAAGCGACUAAGCGUACACGGUGGAUGCCCUGGCAGUCAGAGGCGAUGAAGGACGUGCUAAUCUGCGAUAAGCGUCGGUAAGGUGAUAUGAACCGUUAUAACCGGCGAUUUCCGAAUGGGGAAACCCAGUGUGAUUCGUCACACUAUCAUUAACUGAAUCCAUAGGUUAAUGAGGCGAACCGGGGGAACUGAAACAUCUAAGUACCCCGAGGAAAAGAAAUCAACCGAGAUUCCCCCAGUAGCGGCGAGCGAACGGGGAGCAGCCCAGAGCCUGAAUCAGUGUGUGUGUUA